AGUAGCUCAGUGGUAGAGCGCUUGCCGGGCAUGCAUGAGGCCCCUGGGUUCAAUCCCCAGUACUG
rnacentral:tRNA from 1 species